CCUACGGGGUGCAGCAGUGGGGAAUAUUGGGCAAUGGGCGCAAGCCUGACCCAGCAACGCCGCGUGAAGGAAGAAGGCUUUCGGGUUGUAAACUUCUUUUGUCAGGGACGAAGCACGUGACGGUACCUGACGACUAAGCCACGGCUAACUACGUGCCAGCAGCCGCGGUAAUACGUAGGUGGCAAGCGUUAUCCGGAUGUCCUGGGUGUACAGGGCGUGUAGGCGGGGAAGCAAGUCAGAUGUGAAAACCACGGGCUCAACCUGUGGCCUGCAUUUGAAACUGUUUGUCUUGAGUGCUGGAGAGGCUAUCGGAAUUCCGUGUGUAGCGGUGAAAUGCGUAGAUAUACGGAGGAACACCAGUGGCGAAGGCGGAUUGCUGGACAGUAACUGACGCUGAGGCGCGAAAGCGUGGGGAGCAAACAGGAUUAGAUACCCGAGUAGUC
rnacentral:rRNA from 1 species